rnacentral:rRNA from 1 species
GGUUAAGCGACUAAGCGUACACGGUGGAUGCCCUGGCAGUCAGAGGCGAUGAAGGACGUGCUAAUCUGCGAUAAGCGUCGGUAAGGUGAUAUGAACCGUUGUAACCGGCGAUUUCCGAAUGGGGAAACCCAGUGUGAUUCGUCACACUAUCAUUAACUGAAUCCAUAGGUUAAUGAGGCGAACCGGGGGAACUGAAACAUCUAAGUACCCCGAGGAAAAGAAAUCAACCGAGAUUCCCCCAGUAGCGGCGAGCGAACGGGGAGCAGCCCAGAGCCUGAAUCAGUGUGUGUGUUAGUGGAAGCGUCUGGAAAGGCGCGCGAUACAGGGUGACAGCCCCGUACACAAAAAUGCACAUAUUGUGAGCUCGAUGAGUAGGGCGGGACACGUGGUAUCCUGUCUGAAUAUGGGGGGCCCAUCCUCCAAGGCUAAAUACUCCUGACUGACCGAUAGUGAACCAGUACCGUGAGGGAAAGGCGAAAAGAACCCCGGCGAGGGGAGUGAAAAAGAACCUGAAACCGUGUACGUACAAGCAGUGGGAGCACGCUUAGGCGUGUGACUGCGUACCUUUUGUAUAAUGGGUCAGCGACUUAUAUUCUGUAGCAAGGUUAACCGAAUAGGGGAGCCGAAGGGAAACCGAGUCUUAACUGGGCGUUAAGUUGCAGGGUAUAGACCCGAAACCCGGUGAUCUAGCCAUGGGCAGGUUGAAGGUUGGGUAACACUAACUGGAGGACCGAACCGACUAAUGUUGAAAAAUUAGCGGAUGACUUGUGGCUGGGGGUGAAAGGCCAAUCAAACCGGGAGAUAGCUGGUUCUCCCCGAAAGCUAUUUAGGUAGCGCCUCGUGAAUUCAUCUCCGGGGGUAGAGCACUGUUUCGGCAAGGGGGUCAUCCCGACUUACCAACCCGAUGCAAACUGCGAAUACCGGAGAAUGUUAUCACGGGAGACACACGGCGGGUGCUAACGUCCGUCGUGAAGAGGGAAACAACCCAGACCGCCAGCUAAGGUCCCAAAGUCAUGGUUAAGUGGGAAACGAUGUGGGAAGGCCCAGACAGCCAGGAUGUUGGCUUAGAAGCAGCCAUCAUUUAAAGAAAGCGUAAUAGCUCACUGGUCGAGUCGGCCUGCGCGGAAGAUGUAACGGGGCUAAACCAUGCACCGAAGCUGCGGCAGCGACGCUUAUGCGUUGUUGGGUAGGGGAGCGUUCUGUAAGCCUGCGAAGGUGUGCUGUGAGGCAUGCUGGAGGUAUCAGAAGUGCGAAUGCUGACAUAAGUAACGAUAAAGCGGGUGAAAAGCCCGCUCGCCGGAAGACCAAGGGUUCCUGUCCAACGUUAAUCGGGGCAGGGUGAGUCGACCCCUAAGGCGAGGCCGAAAGGCGUAGUCGAUGGGAAACAGGUUAAUAUUCCUGUACUUGGUGUUACUGCGAAGGGGGGACGGAGAAGGCUAUGUUGGCCGGGCGACGGUUGUCCCGGUUUAAGCGUGUAGGCUGGUUUUCCAGGCAAAUCCGGAAAAUCAAGGCUGAGGCGUGAUGACGAGGCACUACGGUGCUGAAGCAACAAAUGCCCUGCUUCCAGGAAAAGCCUCUAAGCAUCAGGUAACAUCAAAUCGUACCCCAAACCGACACAGGUGGUCAGGUAGAGAAUACCAAGGCGCUUGAGAGAACUCGGGUGAAGGAACUAGGCAAAAUGGUGCCGUAACUUCGGGAGAAGGCACGCUGAUAUGUAGGUGAAGUCCCUUGCGGAUGGAGCUGAAAUCAGUCGAAGAUACCAGCUGGCUGCAACUGUUUAUUAAAAACACAGCACUGUGCAAACACGAAAGUGGACGUAUACGGUGUGACGCCUGCCCGGUGCCGGAAGGUUAAUUGAUGGGGUCAGCGCAAGCGAAGCUCUUGAUCGAAGCCCCGGUAAACGGCGGCCGUAACUAUAACGGUCCUAAGGUAGCGAAAUUCCUUGUCGGGUAAGUUCCGACCUGCACGAAUGGCGUAAUGAUGGCCAGGCUGUCUCCACCCGAGACUCAGUGAAAUUGAACUCGCUGUGAAGAUGCAGUGUACCCGCGGCAAGACGGAAAGACCCCGUGAACCUUUACUAUAGCUUGACACUGAACAUUGAGCCUUGAUGUGUAGGAUAGGUGGGAGGCUUUGAAGUG